CGCUGGCGGCGUGCCUAACACAUGCAAGUCGAGCGGAGACAGUGAGUAGCUUGCUAUGAGCUGUUUUAGCGGCGGACGGGUGAGUAACGCGUGAGCAACCUUUCCCAGACAGGGGAAUAACACACCGAAAGGUGUACUAAUACCGCAUAAGACCACGGGAUCACAUGGUUCUGGGGUAAAAGAUUUAUCGGUUUGGGGUGGGCUCGCGUCCGAUUAGGUAGUUGGUGAGGUAACGGCCCACCAAGCCGACGAUCGGUAGCCGACCUGAGAGGGUGAUCGGCCACAUUGGGACUGAGACACGGCUCAAACUCCUACGGGAGGCAGCAGUGGGGAAUAUUGGGCAAUGGAGGAAACUCUGACCCAGCAACGCCGCGUGGAGGAAGAAGGUUUUCGGAUCGUAAACUCCUGUCCUUGGAGACGAGUAGAAGACGGUAUCCAAGGAGGAAGCCCCGGCUAACUACGUGCCAGCAGCCGCGGUAAUACGUAGGGGGCAAGCGUUGUCCGGAAUAAUUGGGCGUAAAGGGCGCGUAGGCGGCUCGGUAAGUCUGGAGUGAAAGUCCUGCUUUUAAGGUGGGAAUUGCUUUGGAUACUGUCGGGCUUGAGUGCAGGAGAGGUUAGUGGAAUUCCCAGUGUAGCGGUGAAAUGCGUAGAGAUUGGGAGGAACACCAGUGGCGAAGGCGACUAACUGGACUGUAACUGACGCUGAGGCGCGAAAGUGUGGGGAGCAAACAGGAUUAGAUACCCUGGUAGUCCACACUGUAAACGAUGAAUGCUAGGUGUAGGGGGUAUCGACCCCUUCUGUGCCGCAGUCAACACAAUAAGCAUUCCGCCUGGGGAGUACGGCCGCAAGGUUGAAACUCAAAGGAAUUGACGGGGGCCCGCACAAGCAGCGGAGCAUGUGGUUUAAUUCGACGCAACGCGAAGAACCUUACCAGGUCUUGACAUCCACUUAAACUUACAGAGAUGUAAGGUGUGCUUGCACAAAGUGAGACAGGUGGUGCAUGGUUGUCGUCAGCUCGU
rnacentral:rRNA from 1 species